rnacentral:rRNA from 1 species
GAUGAACGCUGGCGGCGUGCCUAAUACAUGCAAGUCGAGCGAACAGACGAGGAGCUUGCUCCUCUGACGUUAGCGGCGGACGGGUGAGUAACACGUGGAUACCCUACCUAUAAGACUGGGAUAACUUCGGGAAACCGGAGCUAAUACCGGAUAAUAUAUUGAACCGCAUGGUUCAAUAGUGAAAGACGGUUUUGCUGUCACUUAUAGAUGGAUCCGCGCCGCAUUAGCUAGUUGGUAAGGUAACGGCUUACCAAGGCGACGAUGCGUAGCCGACCUGAGAGGGUGAUCGGCCACACUGGAACUGAGACACGGUCCAGACUCCUACGGGAGGCAGCAGUAGGGAAUCUUCCGCAAUGGGCGAAAGCCUGACGGAGCAACGCCGCGUGAGUGAUGAAGGUCUUCGGAUCGUAAAACUCUGUUAUUAGGGAAGAACAAAUGUGUAAGUAACUAUGCACGUCUUGACGGUACCUAAUCAGAAAGCCACGGCUAACUACGUG